rnacentral:lncRNA from 1 species
UUAGAUCAUAAUGCAUAGAUACUGAUUGCAUGUUUGUACUAAUUUAUCCCUUUCUAUUUACUGGAUUCGGAAAAAAUGAUGCUAUAUCUGUUCAUGCAUACCACCUAUUGUUAAAUUGUUUACUAGAAAAGACACAGAUCUAUAGAGAGCUCAACAACCUAUCGCAUGCCUUACGUCGGGCUGAACCACCAAGUGUGUGUCGCCUGCGUCCGGCUCGACAACAAGACCGACAACCUUGACAAGGUCGGCUUCGCCACCGACGACCUCAAGGAUGCCGAGCCGAGCGUAUGUUACGCCGCUCCCUUCUCAUUUUCAUACUACAUACCUACCAGAGAAGAUGGCGAAGAUCAUUUGGUGAAGAACGCUUUGAGAACCACUGCGAUGGAUGAUGGACCCGCGCCAGUGUACGAUCACCAUAUUGGUCUUGGCGGCCAGUUCCACUAGGAGAACCACUAGCCAGCACAAUUGGAUAUUGGAGAACCACUAACCAGGGUGUUUGGAUAUUGGAGAACCAGACACACUUUAUGUGCAUCGAUAUGGAUCCUCUCAGCAUCGUCGUCCAUGUCUACAAUGGUACAUCUCAUAGCCCCCGGUCACACCUUCU